CACCCCUAGGCCCUAGGUCGGCUUUGCACUUUUGCAGCAGGAGAGCUUUCAACUCAUAGGCUCAUAGCAAGCAGCGGUCCUUAAUGUCCUCCGGUCAAGCAGCGGUCCUUAAUGCCCUCCGGUCCUCCCUCACACUCUUCAACUGGCUCACAUCCGAUGCUGCACACGUGGCGUACAUCGCGCCGUUCAAUGACCUCGAACUCCGCCCUCGUAGUCUCCUACCUCCAAUCUCUGCGGCUCUCAGGCUCUGCCAAAACAACGAAAAGUUCACCAGUUCACCUCUUCGGCUCUUCAACCUCAAACUCCGGAGAGAGUAAUUUUCCCAUCAACCCACUGCCUCUUCUUCACCAGUUCACCUCAUCAACCCACCGCCUCUUCUUCACCAGUUCACCAGUUCACCAUUUGGGAAUCAGGAUCAUCAGGAUGCUCUUGAUUAAGCCCCAACUCUGACCUCGUGGGGUUCGACUGGACUGAUAUGCUCAAAAUCCAGGUUUUAUUGUUCUUUGUUCUUUGUUCUUUGUUCUUUGUUCUUUGUUAAGUGUUUAUUAUAAAAAUUGAAAAAUGUUUCCUAAGAAACAACUUUCCGGAAAUCUUAAGAGACAAAAAAAGAAAAAAAAUGAUGAAAUUGCUCAAAGUUUAAGAGGAUCUUUGAAUAAAUAUUUUGUUAAACAAACCAAUGCUUCACUUGAAAAUUUAGAUGAAGAUGAUUUACCAAAUGAAUAUGAACACUCAAGUCAAUUGGAAGAAUUAGUAGAAAAUGAGAAUGAUGCGAAUGAAGAAAUUGGUGAUCUAGAUGAAAAUGAAAAUAGUGAUGAACCUUUCCUUGAUGAAAAUGAAAAUAUUGAUGAACCUUGCCAUGAAAAUGAAUGUCCCGAAACAAGAUUUGAUUUGAACAUUUAUGAUCCACGAGUUUGGGAUAAUCUUGAUGCAAAAAUGAGAGAUUUACUUGUAGAAAAAGGUCCCC